rnacentral:rRNA from 1 species
CAGUCGCCGCGGUAAUACGUAGGGUGCAAGCGUUAAUCGGAAUUACUGGGCGUAAAGCGUGCGCAGGCGGUUUGUUAAGACAGAUGUGAAAUCCCCGGGCUCAACCUGGGAACUGCAUUUGUGACUGGCAGGCUAGAGUAUGGCAGAGGGGGGUGGAAUUCCGCGUGUAGCAGUGAAAUGCGUAGAUAUGCGGAGGAACACCGAUGGCGAAGGCAAUCCCCUGGGCCUGCACUGACGCUCAUGCACGAAAGCGUGGGGAGCAAACAGGAUUAGAUACCCCUGUAGUCCCUGUCUCUUAUAC